CAGUACGUAUCGUGAGAAUCGCAGUACGUAUCGUGAGAAUCGCAGUACAUCGGCACCUUGGUAUUGGGAUUUCCCUAUUUACUAGCCCAUACUGUCCACGCUGACAGUAUUUGGUCAUGCUAUGCUAAUAUCACACUCUUCAUUAAGUGUUCAAUCAAUCAAAUGUAUUUAUAAAGCCAUUUUUGUUUUACAUCAGCAGAGGUCACAGUGGCUUAUAAAUAACCAGAUGAAAAGCUCAGAGCAGUGCAGAGGCAGAGGUCACAGUGGCUUAUAAAUAACCAGAUGAAAAGCUCAGAGUAGUGCAGAGGUCACAGUGGCUUAUAAAUAACCAGAUGAAAAGCUCAGAGUAGUGCAGAGGUCACAGUGGCUUAUAAAUAACCAGAUGAAAAGCUCAGAGUAGUGCAGAGGUCACAG